AUUGAACGCUGGCGUCAGGCCUAACACAUGCAAGUCGAACGAGUGGCGGACGGGUGAGUCAUGUCUGGGAAACUGCCUGUUGGAGGGGGAUAAUUACUGGAAACGGUAGCUAAUACCGCAUACCAUCGGAUGUGCCCAGAUGGGAUUAGCUAGUAGGUGGGGUAAAGGCUCACCUAGGCGACGAUCCCUAGCUGGUCUGUGCGGAUGACCAGCCCAACUGGAACGGCGACACGGGCCAGACGCGUACGGGAGGCAGCAGUGGGGAAUAUUGCACAAGGGGCGCAAGCCUGAUGCAUCCAUGCCGCGUGUGUGAAGAGGGCCUUCGGGUUGUAAAGUACUUUCAGCGGGGAGGCGUUACCCGCAGAAGAAGCACCGGCUAACUCCGUGCCAGCAGCCGCGGUAAUAC
rnacentral:rRNA from 1 species